UUUCUUUCGCUUUCUAUCUUUUGGCCCUGGGGCCUUUAUUUGUCAGUUAAACUACACUUCCUCUUUGGAGGGUUCCCCCUUGUCUUAGAUUUUGCUCCUUGGUCACAGGUGAAGGGUUGCUUUCCGAGAGUUUAGAAAGAAGCUAUGCCUUUUUGUCUUUUCUCUUGGGGGAAAGUCCCCGGACGACCGCCAGAGAUGGCCUGCUCUGAAGGGUAGAGCGCAACUAGUUUGGCGAGACCUUGACCCAUGACCCCUUGGGGUGAAAGUAGGGAUAGGUCCAGUUGUCUCGUUCUUAGUUGCGUUUUUCGUCGUAGCAAAGUUAUGCAACCACCUUGAGUAAAUAAUGUUUAUCAAGGGAACCAAACGGGGCUUACUCUCCUCGUGACCUUUUUUCUUAUUUCUCCUAUUAACUGAUUUUAUUUUACCUACUAUAAUGAACCACUUUUUUUGUUAAUGGUGAUGAAGCUCAAAUCCAGCUCACAUUGAGGGUUUAACUCGGUGAUAAGUUGGUUUCACGACAGUCUUCUGAAUUAAUUGCUUUAACUGUCACUUUUUUUUUUUGGCUUGCAUGGUCGCCUCUUCUGGUGAUAGUUAUUACCGGUUUUAUGCUACCUCAGGUCGACCGGUGGAGCCCGGAAAAUAAGCCUUUGCUACUCAGCCUUUAGAGCAGUCAUUAUUAGUCUUUCACGCUUGCAGUUAUUAAAAACCAUGCGAGAUGACGACUGAGCGCAAGUGUAGACGAAAACUGCAAUGAAAGGCAAUGCACAUGCCUACGAAUCCAUUGUGGAGCUGCACGACUAAUUUUCCUACUAACCACUUUUACCUGUUUACCCCUUGGAAAUUUUUUGUGUUUCAGUAGCGGACUGAAAGGAUUAAAUGAAUAGCGUAAGAAGAUAAGAAGAAAAUAAAUUAGCAGGUUCAAGAUGUACAUGUCAUUUCAAAAAGGGGACCUGCUUGU